rnacentral:tRNA from 2 species
AGAGGAGUGGUAGAGCGGUUUAUUGCACCGGUCUUGAAAACCGGAGACUGUAACAGGUCCGGGGGUUCGAAUCCCUCCUCCUCUG